rnacentral:rRNA from 1 species
GUGUCAGCAGCCGCGGUAAUACGGAGGGGGCAAGCGUUGUUCGGAAUUACUGGGCGUAAAGGGCGCGUAGGCGGACGGCCAAGUCAGAGGUGAAAGGCCCGGGCUCAACCUGGGACGUGCCUUUGAAACUGGUUGUCUUGAGUGCGGGAGAGGGUGACGGAAUUCCCAGUGUAGAGGUGAAAUUCGUAGAUAUUGGGAAGAACACCGGUGGCGAAGGCGGUCACCUGGCCCGCAACUGACGCUGAGGCGCGAAAGCGUGGGGAGCAAACAGGAUUAGAUACCCUGGUAGUCCACGCCGUAAACGAUGUGCGCUAGCCGUCGGGGGACCUAGUCUCUCGGUGGCGCAGUUAACGCGUUAAGCGCACCGCCUGGGGAGUACGGCCGCAAGGUUAAAACUUAAAUGAAUUGACGGGG